AUAGUUAAAUAAAUGCUUGAGAUAAUCAUGGAUUUCCGCAUCUACAUAAAAAGAAAAAAAAAAAAAACAAUUAACAUUUUUAAUUUUUUUUCAUCCCAUUAUUCGCAUCAUGGGUGCGUCAUCAUUAUGAGGCAUUGGCAAAACUUCCGGCAUACACAUCCACCGGUGCAACGUAUUCAUUUGGUAACAUGGAUCCCCUUGCAACGCCGUCGAAUAACCGUAACGGCGCUUCCAAUUCCUCCUUGUUCUUCCCUCCAAAUAGAGGCAUGAAUCACAUUCAAGAUUACACAACAAAGUGAAAGGGGAGAAACCAAUAUUUCAUAUCAAUGUUCCACUUCUUCAUUUGCAGCAUGUGUUAUUUCAAAAUGUGAAAUAUACAUCGUGGCAGAAAUCGCAAAACCUAUUAUGUGCUCUGCAUCAUCUUCUUUACCACAUGCCUUCGAGAUUGAUUUUGAUUGUUCUUUGUAUCGACUCUAAUACCAAUUGUAGAGAAUUGGAACACAUGACCAGAGGUUUUUUGUGACGGUGGUGAAACGAUGGGGAAUCGGUGGAUGAAGUUGACGCGUCUGUUUGAUUCUUUUCGGAAGGCGGAUGGGUUUGGUUGUUGACGGUUUCUGAAUGUUUCUAUUGAAUGUUUUGAAUGCGGAAAGUAAGGACGGUUUUUUAUGUGUUUCGACAAUGGUUUUUAUGAAUGUUUCAAAGACACGGGGGUUUGUUUUGUUCAGUCGGUUCCAUUUAAUUUAUUUGUGAUCAAGAUUUUGAAGAACGUGACCCUUCACAACUUAAACCCAUAGUACCUUUUAACAAAAGGAUACAACGUUUCUGAAGGAUAAGACUUUAUAUGCAUUAAAUUAAAAUGACAGCCUUUCAUUUUAGAAAAUAUUUUGAAUUAAUAGCUUUUCUAAUAGAUGUGUCUUUUACUUAAGGGGUGUAACUCAAGUUACUUUUUGUAGGAUU
rnacentral:lncRNA from 1 species